UUAAACCGAAUCGUAGUGAUACGAACGGAGGAACCAAUGUGGGGUCAAUUCCUUAUAUGGAUAGGGUAUCUCGACCCGAACCCGGCAGCUAACUUCGUAGGUGAAUCGAGAGG
rnacentral:sRNA from 1 species